CUUCGGGAAACCGGAGCUAAUACCGGAUAAUAUUUCGAACCGCAUGGUUCGAUAGUGAAAGAUGGUUUUGCUAUCACUUAUAGAUGGACCCGCGCCGUAUUAGCUAGUUGGUAAGGUAACGGCUUACCAAGGCGACGAUACGUAGCCGACCUGAGAGGGUGAUCGGCCACACUGGAACUGAGACACGGUCCAGACUCCUACGGGAGGCAGCAGCC
rnacentral:rRNA from 1 species